rnacentral:rRNA from 1 species
CGAAUGCUGACAUAAGUAACGAUAAAGCGGGUGAAAAGCCCGCUCGCCGGAAGACCAAGGGUUCCUGUCCAACGUUAAUCGGGGCAGGGUGAGUCGACCCCUAAGGCGAGGCCGAAAGGCGUAGUCGAUGGGAAACAGGUUAAUAUUCCUGUACUUGGUGUUACUGCGAAGGGGGGACGGAGAAGGCUAUGUUGGCCGGGCGACGGUUGUCCCGGUUUAAGCGUGUAGGCUGGUUUUCCAGGCAAAUCCGGAAAAUCAAGGCUGAGGCGUGAUGACGAGGCACUACGGUGCUGAAGCAACAAAUGCCCUGCUUCCAGGAAAAGCCUCUAAGCAUCAGGUAACAUCAAAUCGUACCCCAAACCGACACAGGUGGUCAGGUAGAGAAUACCAAGGCGCUUGAGAGAACUCGGGUGAAGGAACUAGGCAAAAUGGUGCCGUAACUUCGGGAGAAGGCACGCUGAUAUGUAGGUGAAGCGACUUGCUCGUGGAGCUGAAAUCAGUCGAAGAUACCAGCUGGCUGCAACUGUUUAUUAAAAACACAGCACUGUGCAAACACGAAAGUGGACGUAUACGGUGUGACGCCUGCCCGGUGCCGGAAGGUUAAUUGAUGGGGUUAGCGGUAACGCGAAGCUCUUGAUCGAAGCCCCGGUAAACGGCGGCCGUAACUAUAACGGUCCUAAGGUAGCGAAAUUCCUUGUCGGGUAAGUUCCGACCUGCACGAAUGGCGUAAUGAUGGCCAGGCUGUCUCCACCCGAGACUCAGUGAAAUUGAACUCGCUGUGAAGAUGCAGUGUACCCGCGGCAAGACGGAAAGACCCCGUGAACCUUUACUAUAGCUUGACACUGAACAUUGAGCCUUGAUGUGUAGGAUAGGUGGGAGGCUUUGAAGUGUGGACGCCAGUCUGCAUGGAGCCGACCUUGAAAUACCACCCUUUAAUGUUUGAUGUUCUAACGUUGGCCCGUUAUCCGGGUUGCGGACAGUGUCUGGUGGGUAGUUUGACUGGGGCGGUCUCCUCCUAAAGAGUAACGGAGGAGCACGAAGGUUGGCUAAUCCUGGUCGGACAUCAGGAGGUUAGUGCAAUGGCAUAAGCCAGCUUGACUGCGAGCGUGACGGCGCGAGCAGGUGCGAAAGCAGGUCAUAGUGAUCCGGUGGUUCUGAAUGGAAGGGCCAUCGCUCAACGGAUAAAAGGUACUCCGGGGAUAACAGGCUGAUACCGCCCAAGAGUUCAUAUCGACGGCGGUGUUUGGCACCUCGAUGUCGGCUCAUCACAUCCUGGGGCUGAAGUAGGUCCCAAGGGUAUGGCUGUUCGCCAUUUAAAGUGGUACGCGAGCUGGGUUUAGAACGUCGUGAGACAGUUCGGUCCCUAUCUGCCGUGGGCGCUGGAGAACUGAGGGGGGCUGCUCCUAGUACGAGAGGACCGGAGUGGACGCAUCACUGGUGUUCGGGUUGUCAUGCCAAUGGCACUGCCCGGUAGCUAAAUGCGGAAGAGAUAAGUGCUGAAAGCAUCUAAGCACGAAACUUGCCCCGAGAUGAGUUCUCCCUGACUCCCUGAGAGUCCUGAAGGAACGUUGAAGACGACGACGUUGAUAGGCCGGGUGUGUAAGCGCAGCGAUGCGUUGAGCUAACCGGUACUAAUGAACCGUGAG